UGGGGAAUAUUGCACAAUGGAGGGAACUCUGAUGCAGCGACGCCGCGUGAGUGAUGAAGGACUUCGUUUCGUAAAACUCUGUUCUAUGGGAAGAAAAGGACUGUACCAUAGGAGAAAGCUCCGGCUAAAUACGUGCCAGCAGCCGCGGUAAUACGUAUGGAGCGAGCGUUGUCCGGAAUUAUUGGGCGUAAAGGGUGCGCAGGCGGCUUUACAAGUUGGAUGUGAAAUAUUGUGGCUCAACCACAAACGUGCAUCCAAAACUGCAAAGCUUGAGUUAAGGAGAGGUAAGUGGAAUUCCUGGUGUAGCGGUGGAAUGCGUAGAUAUCAGGAGGAAUACCGGUGGCGGAGGCGACUUACUGGACUUAAACUGACGCUCAGGCACGAAAGCGUGGGGAGCAAACAGG
rnacentral:rRNA from 1 species